UGAGGAAUAUUGGUCAAUGGGCGAGAGCCUGAACCAGCCAGGUAGCGUGCAGGAAGACGGCCCUAUGGGUUGUAAACUGCUUUUAUGCGGGGAUAAAGUGAUGGACGUGUCCGUCAUUGCAGGUACCGCAUGAAUAAGGACCGGCUAAUUCCGUGCCAGCAGCCGCGGUAAUACGGAAGGUCCGGGCGUUAUCCGGAUUUAUUGGGUUUAAAGGGAGCGUAGGCCGUGGAUUAAGCGUGUUGUGAAAUGCAGGUGCUCAACGUCUGCACUGCAGCGCGAACUGGUCCACUUGAGUGUGCACAACGCAGGCGGAAUUCGUCGUGUAGCGGUGAAAUGCUUAGAUAUGACGAAGAACUCCGAUUGCGAAGGCAGCCUGCGGGAGCACAACUGACGCUGAAGCUCGAAAGUGCGGGUAUCGAACAGGAUUAGAUACCCUGGUAGUCCGCACGGUAAACGAUGGAUGCCCGUUGUCAGGCUGUUUCAGCCUGGUGACCAAGCGAAAGCAUUAAGCAUCCCACCUGGGGAGUACGCCGGCAACGGUG
rnacentral:rRNA from 1 species